rnacentral:lncRNA from 1 species
AAAAAUAAUUAGUAGAAAAAAAAAUAGAUUUUAAUCAAUAUUUGUUUCAUUAAAAGGAAAAAAGAUCCAUGUUUAUUUGGUUCAAUAAAAAUAAUAAACCAUAAAAAUUUUACGCAACUUGAGUUUUCGUUUUUCGCCGAAAAAUAGCGAAAAAUGAAAAUUUUAAUUUUUUCACAAAUAUGUAAAAAUACUUUUAUGGACGAAUAUUAUUCCAUGGAACCAGACAAGCAAAAAAAUGUUUUUUAUACUGAAAAUAAUUUUUCGAUUCUUUUUACGUGG